rnacentral:misc_RNA from 1 species
CCCUGCUUGCAAAGCAGGUGCUCUCCCAGCUGAGCUACGGCCCCUAAAUCAGAAUAAAGCGUUUAAAACGAUCAAAAGAGGGAUUACAAAAUCUAUAUAACUCAAAGCGAUAUGAUUGAACCGAUAGUUUCAUAUAGGCAUUGACGUCUAUGAGCAUUUGGAAUUUAUAUCAACCAAAUGGACGCUGUAAAAAUCACUUUGCAAGGAAUUUUGACUCCUUAGUAUUUAGCAUUUGAACUGUUUUUUUGCCAUUAAUUUGCUUUAACUUUGGAUUACUCACACAAAAGCAAUAAGCCUGCCAAUUUUGAUAAGCUUUUUAGAAGCAAUCUUUUUAGAAGUACUUAUUUUUUAAAAGCACUUAUGAAAGUAAUGGAUAAACUGGUGGGCCUGGGAGGACUUGAACCUCCGACCUCACGCUUAUCAAGCGCGCGCUCUAACCAACUGAGCUACAAGCCCUCCGGGAUAAACCGGAAAACCUUCCCCGGCAUCCUCUUAUAAAACGCUUAAAUUUUAUCAAGGAAAGCGUUUUUCAAAGCCCACGGUGGACUUGUUUUGUCU